rnacentral:lncRNA from 1 species
GCACGAAGCAAAGAACUCAGAUUUUAUUGAAAUAUGUAGGAUUAAGCAUGGAGUCUUUUUCCUUUUUAAAGCAUGUUUAAAAUAUGGAUGUAAUUUUUCUAACUUUUAAAAGAAAUGUCACAUUAAUAGCAAGUACUAGAUGGCCUUCGGCAUUCUUAAAGAAAAUUAAGAAUGUAUAAGCCUAGUGUGGUAAGUAAUACAUCUGGAUAAGCUGUGUUAUCCAGCUUCAAUAGCUGAAAAAGGGGUUCUCCUAAGUAAAAUGUUAAUACCUAGAGCAGAAACAGAGAUAGUAACACACACAGGAGAAAAAGGAUUAUUAAUACAGAGAGAAACCGAAUGACAAGGAAUACCGGCUUCUAAAAUAAAGGAGUGAGAGAGGUAAAGCCUCAUGUUGACUAUCAGAAUUCUGACGAGAAGAAAUUGGAUCAAGAGCUGUUCCAGGAUGCUUUUCAAGGAAGCAAAACUGGUUGAGCAACUGACACAGUUGUUGGUCUUCACAGGCAGUAAAAAAAAGAGGAAAAAAAAAAAAAAAGCCACCUUGAGAGUGAAAUGAAUUACGGAAAUGUGAGCAAUAACAUGUAUCAGGUAUUUGCAGAGCACCUGGGUGCCCAGCAAUACCUAUAGGAAAGUUUAAGUCAGUUCCAUUUGUAUAACAGGAAAAUCAGGACUCCACCAAAAUCUUUGAUUGUGAAUCUGCGGUGGAACUCACGGGAAAUUGAGAUUCUUGGUGCAGCCUGCCGAUUGCAGGUCUCUCAAAGUCAACUGAAUAAAAAGCCCCACACAGCCUAAAAGAUGCCAGUUAUAUUUUAUUCAGGGAUCUGAUUGAGGACUGUGGCCUGGGAAGCAGCCCCUCAGCUCUGAAGAACUUUUCCAAAGAGGUCAGGGAAGAGCCAGGCUACACAGUGGUUUUUGCUGGCGGGGGAGAGGGCAGCAGCAGUUGAACAUCACAAGGUUCCUGCUACUCACAAAAACCAGGCAUCUCAAGUUAAUGAUUUUAGUGCUUUUCUAUGUAUGGAGCGAUGCAAGAGUCUGGGCUCACUGAAAGUAUUCCUUUGAUAAGCAUCUUAACUAUCCAGGCUGGUAUCCUAUUUUUCUCCAUCCUGAAUUCCCCUCAGGCUGCACAGUCAAGGGUGGCUGCAGUGGCUGAGGGCUUGAUGACCAGCAACAUUCUUUGUUUACUGAAAUGUCAGGCAAUGUUUUUUCUUGUCUACACUCAUAUUCUAUUAAUAACGAUGUAAUUGAGCCUAGUAUAUGAAAACGUGUGUCAAGUUCCUAAUGUGGAUAGUAAGACUGAUUUGAGAAGAAAACUUUAUUUGACCAAUAGAUCUAGGUCUUCCUGUCCCUUUUUAUGCUCCAAGUUUGUAACUCUUAUGUUGUCUAGGAAGUCCUGAAGAAGCAUGUUAACGUUUAUAUAUGAGAAGAUGGGAUGACAGAUGCUACGGAAGCAAUUGUCUCCACCAUAAAAAUGAAAUGCUACUUGUUUAGGUAGGUGUUUUUUCUCACCUCAAUAGAUUUUAACCGCAGCCUGGGUCUGCUAUUUUCCCAAAUAAAUAAAUAAGCCACUGCAAAAUGUAAAUACAUGAAAUGUUUUGGUAACACCAAUUACAACUGAGCCAUUGUAGUAGCUAAAUGCAUUGUUUACUCACAAUUGUGAAAACAAGCUGGACCCUGUGGGAGGCUCCUGGGUGCAAACGCCUUUCAUGUCCCCAGCUUCUUGUUUGGAGAAAAAGGCUUCAGCCUUGUAGACCUUGCCUGCGUUCCAAAGGGCAGAUUCAAGCAGUUAGUAAUUCGCGAAGUGAGGGAAUAUGGAAACAAAGGAAAAGCCAUCCAGAAAGAGCAGCACAGCCAUGGGACAGUGUCCUGGUGCCUCCUGAAGGGAUAUACAUAACUGAUGCUCGUCUUUAAGCUCUUCUGGAGGAACUGAGGUGUUUCCCCCCCUCUCCCCCGCGGGUGGAGGAUGGCAACUUGAGGCUGAGCACAAGAUUCCUGGACACCACCCUCUUACCGCACACCAAUCAGAAGAAAGCCACACACCCUGAGCCGGCACCCCCAAUUUUGCCUUUAAAAAGUCUUCCCCAUUCUGUUGGGGAGUUUGGGGUUUUUGAUUAUGAGCUGCCCAGUCUCCUUUCUUGGCCCUCACAUAGACCUUUCUCUGCUCCAGACUCUGAUGUUUUGGGUUGUUGGGCCUCAAUGGUGAGUCAAGCACUUGUGUUCAGCAACGAUUGGAAAAACAAAGUGGCUUUUUUUCCCAGGUGCAAGGGGGUGGUUAAGUGUGAGCUAGAAAUGGACUCUCAAGUGACAGAAUCCGCCUUGACUCUUCACUGCCACAACCCGGAAGUGAAACCCUCAAUGUUUUCAUUUCAGCAAAUUUCCACUGCAAGUAGAACACUCGAAUGAAUUUAUGAGGCGUACACAUGACCAGGCAAAAUCUUGGAUAAAGUUGGCUUCUAAUUGCUGGUUUUCCAUCCCUGCCCUGAAACCUCCCACUGUCCUGCUGAGGAACAAGAGUCUCGUACCUCUGGAAUCGCACUGCCUGUUUUAGGCUGAAGAUUGACAUUCAAUACCUCCUUUUACGAUGUGACUGGACUCUUAAAAUGUACACGAAUGACAUUUUUAAAGCCAAAUAAUAUUUUAAUUAUCUUAGGCAAAGUGCUCACUCUAAAGACAUCUUUGGCAAAUCUUUUCCUUGUAACUGCACCGCCUUAAUCCUGAACUUCAAUAUCCUCAUUUUUAUUACUAUGGAGAGUAUUGUGACAUGCUGAGUACCCUGAAGGAGCUGCAAUAUGUUAGACAAAUAUCAUCUGCCUUUGACUGGCAAUCAAAAUGAAUGACAAGGUAGUGCUUAUUUUAUACAGAUAAGGUGAGACCUGUUCUCAAAAAAACAGUGAUGACCCUAUUGAUCAAGUGACACUUAAAGCACACAGAAGCUAUUUAAUGAGUUCAGUGUUCUAAAGAGCAUAUGAAUACAGCAUAAUGUAUAAUGUGCUAUUAUGUUAAUAAGAAAAUUCAUACUGCUUAUUUUCUCCUUCAGUUUAUCUGUUCAGAAGAUACUUACUGAUUGCUCAGACAGAAUGAUGCCUGUUGGAUGGACCAGACAAAAAGAUGCCUAAGAAAUACAGAAGAGAUAAAUGUGAAUUCGAGGGGAGGUAAAUGGAAGCAAAAAUAAUAUUAAGUGUAGCACAUUUAAGUAUAUAUUAUUCCUAUGAUCUUAAUUGCUUUUUAUCAGAAUUGUCUCUAAAAUGAGCUACAUUUGACUGG